AUGUCCUCGUCCCCAGCAACUGUACCGUGCUAUUCAGCCACCGUCAACGACCGGAGCCAUAAAACACACGAUCCCUCUCAGGAAGUCCCUGGCGGGGGUCACCAACCCCAUCAACCCCAGCAAGGUGAGGCGGACUCACACGCACCUUUACAAGCCUACAAGCACACACUUCUUUGCUCUGUUUUGCGUUGCUUUCUGCUAAAACGAGUAGGAACAGACUGGUGUUUUAAAAAGAAAGCUCCCGGUGAAAAGCCCUCAUUUACGCUUCAAGGAAUCAGGUUUCUUUCUGCAAACAAAGCUCCCCAGCUGCCCCAACGAGGGUCCUCUGAAAUGUCAGCUGGAGGAAAGCCUCGGCCCCGAGACCAGGGCAAGCUGUGCGUUGAAUUCAGCCCCUUGUUCAUAGGCAAGUCAUUCCCGACGGCCCGGGACCCGACGGGGCACGCGUUAACCACCCAGGUCCCCGACCCCCACCAUGCGCUCCAGUGGGCCCCUGCCCACCGCCCUGCUUCGCCUGGGACUGAGGGGGGCCCUCCCUGUUGGGAAACAACACGAACCUCCCCCCCUCCCGGAGCUCCUGCCUCUGCGGGAGCUGCUUCCCCCCGAAACACCCUCUGUGCCUCCGCCCUGCAUUUACUGGGCCUCACCGACCGCACCCCCCCCGCCCCCCCCCCCCACAAACCAGCCCUCCUACCAGCGGGCGCUCCCUGCUCUGCCUUGGCCUGUGGCCCCUUCUUUCACGGCUCUACAAUGCGCCUCCCAGGGACUUUGGGAAGUCAGACCCGCGUGGUCCCCCGUCCUGCCUGCACGCGACAGAGGGCCCACGAACGGCACCGAGCGCCCCCCCCCCGCCCCCCGGCAACUCUCCUCCUGUUACAAAACAUGCAGACAGCACCCACUCUCCUCUCUGGAAAAAGUCCCUGCGAAGUCUUCCAGCAUUUUUAUAGGUUUAGAGAUUUAUUUUGUAGCAUCAGACCUUUAGUCCAUCUGGAACUUGUUUUGCUGUGA
rnacentral:lncRNA from 1 species